rnacentral:lncRNA from 1 species
UCUGUAACUGCCCUUAGGUUGUGUUAACUGCCGGCAGCUGGGAUUCUAACUGUUUACUUUGUGUCCAGAAGUCUGUGGCUCUCUGGCUUUUUCACUUGGCUGGCUGCAGUUUCAUGGCUCUGACCUCAGAUCUCUAGCUGUCUCACUGUCAGAGUACCUCACUUCCCAGUUGCCUUUCCUCUGUCUUUUUUGACUGAGCCUUUUUAAGAACUACACUUUUUUUUUUGCUCCUGACCUAAUGACCUCAGUGCUAUCCUAGAUGACCACUUCUCACCCAAGAUCCCAUAACAUUUCAAAGCUGUAUGAGAUGGGCGAUUCUGGAAAGUGCUCAGUCCACCCCAGUAUCUUCACCUGAGCAUUCUACUUUGUUGACUGGAUCUGGCUCAUCAAGGGCUGAGGAAGUUCUUCAGGCAGAAUGAGGAAGAUACAUAGAUGAACUAUCUGGAUAAGGAAAAGAGGAAGAACAUUUGAGACAAAUGGAUAGCUGGCAUGAAGUUUCCUCUUCUCCAGAACUAAGGGCUGCCACCUGUUCAGAGAACAAGUUCACUCUGGCUAGAAGUACAACACCUGGUCCCCUUUCCUU